rnacentral:rRNA from 1 species
UACGUAGGUGGCAAGCGUUGUCCGGAUUUACUGGGCGUAAAGAGCGCGCAGGCGGUCGUUCAAGUCGAGUGUGAAAGCCCCCGGCUCAACUGGGGAGGGUCACGCGAUACUGAUCGACUCGAAGGCAGGAGAGGGUAGUGGAAUUCCCGGUGUAGUGGUGAAAUGCGUAGAUAUCGGGAGGAACACCAGUGGCGAAGGCGGUUGCCUGGAGCUUUGCUGACGCUGAGGCGCGAAAGCGUGGGGAGCGAUCCGG